rnacentral:rRNA from 1 species
GAUGAACGCUGGCGGCGUGCCUAAUACAUGCAGGUAGAACGCUGAAGGAAGGAGCUUGCUCUUUCCGGAUGAGUUGCGAACGGGUGAGUAACGCGUAGGUAACCUGCCUGGUAGCGGGGGAUAACUAUUGGAAACGAUAGCUAAUACCGCAUAACAGUAGAUGUUGCAUGAUAUCUACUUAAAAGGUGCAAUUGCACCACUACCAGAUGGACCUGCGUUGUAUUAGCUAGUUGGUGAGGUAACGGCUCACCAAGGCGACGAUACAUAGCCGACCUGAGAGGGUGAUCGGCCACACUGGGACUGAGACACGGCCCAGACUCCUACGGGAGGCAGCAGUAGGGAAUCUUCGGCAAUGGACGGAAGUCUGACCGAGCAACGCCGCGUGAGUGAAGAAGGUUUUCGGAUCGUAAAGCUCUGUUGUAAGAGAAGAACGAGUGUGAGAGUGGAAAGUUCACACUGUGACGGUAGCUUACCAGAAAGGGACGGCUAACUACGUG